rnacentral:tRNA from 1 species
UGCGAGGUGGAGCAGUCUGGUAGCUCGUCGGGCUCAUAACCCGAAGGUCAUAGGUUCAAAUCCUAUCCUCGCUACCA